AUUGAACGCUGGCGGAAUGCUUUACACAUGCAAGUCGAACGGCAGCACGGACUUCGGUCUGGUGGCGAGUGGCGAACGGGUGAGUAAUGUAUCGGAACGUGCCCAGUCGUGGGGGAUAACGUAGUGAAAAUUACGCUAAUACCGCAUACCAUCUAUGGAUGAAAGCGGGGGAUCGCAAGACCUCGCGCGAUUCGAGCGGCCGAUAUCAGAUUAGGUAAUUGGUGGGGUAAAGGCCCACCAAGCCAACGAUCUGUAGCUGGUCUGAGAGGACGACCAGCCACACUGGAACUGAGACACGGUCCAGACUCCUACGGGAGGCAGCAGUGGGGAAUUUUGGACAAUGGGCGAAAGCCUGAUCCAGCCAUUCCGCGUGCAGGAUGAAGGCCCUCGGGUUGUAAACUGCUUUUGUACAGAACGAAAAGGUUUCUACUAAUACUAGGAGCUCAUGACGGUACUGUAAGAAUAAGCACCGGCUAACUACGUGCCAGCAGCCGCAGUAA
rnacentral:rRNA from 1 species